rnacentral:lncRNA from 1 species
AAUUAUUUAUCAAAACGCAUGAAAAUGGUCGAGGCUAUGUGAAAACUGGUGAAAACUCUCUUUUACAACAAAUUGUCAAUAUCUUCAACAUAUCUUCAACUUUUCCAUAUCUUCAUUAUCUAACAAUGCAAUUUCUGGUUUUAUUGACACUACACGUUAUACUGAUCCCAUAAAUUAUCCAAACGCGGAGCCAUGGUAUACAUGACACUUUGCUGAAAUUGGCCAGUUAAGAUGUGGUUAUAUUACAAAUAUCUUUUACCGAUGAAUCUUUGUGAAAAUUUAGAUGUUUAUAGAGAAAUAUAUCUAAUUACAGUUAAAAUUUUAAUUCAAUUGACCACAUUAUAUUUCAGAUAUUAUUAAAAUCAGCCUUACAUGCAAGUCCUAUUCUAGCCCACCCUAAAAUGUACAUUUUGCCGUAGAUUAAAAAUGGCCAGAGCAAUGUUGAAAAACUAUAAUCAACUGUAGAGUAGAAAAUCAGGAACAUAAACAAAAACCCGAAUUUUUUAACCACAUAAUACCACCAUAAAUUAAUAAUACAUUUUUUAUAAUUUCAAAAUAAAAAUUUUAAAUAUAAUAUUUGUCUACCAAAUUAAAAUUUUAACAGCAACUAGAUUACAUAUUUCUCUAUAAAUUCCUAAUUUUUCACGAAGAGUUAUCGAUAAAUAAUUUUUAUAAUAUAACUGAUAUAACUUCCUUAAGGGGAAACAUUCUGAAUAAAAUAUACUGUUAAGUGUUAAUUAAGAAUAAAAAAUCUAUAUUUGUAAAUAUUAAUAAUUUUGUCAACUAGAUGUCUAAUUAGAAAUUUCAUAAUCAGGUUAAUAAAUAAAGAUUAUUUUUGAAAAGUAGAAAAGUUAAUGACAAAAAUCAGUAGAUUAAAAACAAUAUACAAUUUGACUGGCAGUUCAGGAAAAAGGACAGGAAGUAUAUAUGGAGAAAAAAAGGCAAUUUGUAACUGCAAACAUUAAAAAAUAUUUUAUGUUGACUCAUUUCUUUCUCAUUACAAUAUUAACUAUAAUCUAAUAAUAUCUCUUCUGCAUGUUGUAUACUAUAUAUACUAUGUUGUAUACUAUAUAUGAAAAAUAAUACCAAGUAAUAAAAUAUUUUUGUACAAUAUAUACCUUUUCUUACAUGGAUUAAUUUUUGGGCCUAGCCUUGAGCUUUGUAACAUAUAGGAUAUAAUACUCUCAUUUGAAUGUAUUUAAAAUAGGAUAUAUUCAGGUGUGUGUGUGUGUGUGUGUGCGUGAACAAGCCGCAUGCUAAUGUUCUUGAUGUAAACCAGUCCCCUAAAGCCAAGCGUCGCACCAAUGACACAAAGUGCUCCACCAAAUCUGCAGGACUGUGCUGGGCCGCGAUAUUUUUUAAGGAUUCUACAGCUUUGUCGGAUCACUGUUUCCUCCACAGUAGUCAAAGAUUUAUCAAUGUCACAGUAGCGCGAAACACGCAACAAAUUGAUUUCGAGACUUACGAACUUGAUGAUCUGGCCAAAGUAUGUUGAUUCCUCACGAAAGAAUGCCAAGCGGUUGUAAUUACUGUGAAUUCAGUCACCCGAUAGUCUCCAAGGCAAACAGAAUUCGCCGAUAUAACACCAGCAUUGGGAAAAUAUUGGUCAAAAAUACCAACUACAAGAUUGAUGAUAACGAGGCAAUAUGGUGAAACUCGAAAGAUUAUCAUUUGGAAGGAUCUAAGAUUAAAGGAAUACUCAUUCUGUACCGUAAGUAUAAAUGAUAGUGGAAUCAUAUCACAAUAAGUCGUGGUCAAAUCAGCAUUUACAUUAACUAAUCGUUGCGUUAUAAAAUAUUUGUUAAAUUAUUGUUAAAUUGUUAUAAUCGAUGUUUUUAUCAAAUAUUUCCUAUAAUAAAUAUUUUUUAUAAAUUUUA